rnacentral:sRNA from 1 species
UUUUAGAGGAUCCUGGAGGCCAAUGAGUAUGGAGAGAAGUAUGCAAGCACAGGACACAGACCCACUCCUGUUGUAUAUAAUUAUGUGAGCAGAUGGGAGAGGCUAAUGACUUUUAAUCCCAAGUGCAUUAAAGAAGAUUAAAGACGCCUACAGACCUAAGGAUCUGUGUUGAAGAUUUUAUAUGCAAUACCAUUCUCGUUUGUUCAUGUUUGCUGUCGUGAUUUCUUGAGUCUGUAAGGCAGACUGUGUGCAUGUUUGCAAGUCUAGGUGGCACACCACCAUCUGAAUUUCUGAACCAUGUUGCGGAUCUCUAGUGCCAAAUCCUACAAGGUUUUGGUUUUCUAUUUAUAGGAGCCUAGAAACCACUCUAGCCUUUGGAGUCACAGCUUCGCGGCAGUUUCAGCGUCUGCUACUUAUUAAGUGUUGAUGGACCAUCUGGGGCUUUCAGAGUCUUAUGUGACAUCUUCUUCAACUUACCUUGGAAUCUUAGACUUCACUGAGAUCUAUGCAUAAGUCAUUAUGGAAUGGAAAGGAAAAUGGCCACGUUUGAUUACUUUUGGUUUAGAAUCAGGAAAGCUGAAGUUAUACAGGCCUCCCACACAGGUUUCGUUCUGGAGACUGGUCUAGAUAUUCUUGAGAUUGAAUAUCUUUUUUGACAGAAUGGUCAAUUGGUGUCUCAGCUACUGGUUCUAAGGAAGGCCAACUGAGAUCAAAAAGAAACUGUCUCUACCUGGUGCGCCCACAUAGCAAUUCUGUCCAGCCCAAGAGUCUGGGACAUGCCAGAACAUUUUCUUCUUUAUAGUCUGUGGGAGGCACUGACAAGAACAGUUGAUACAGAUUGCAAGCACAGCGACAUAGUAGUGUCGUAAUGCAUCAUCACAUGCUAUCUUUGGUAUAUUCUAGAAUUUUAUCACGAGGCAUUGAUCCCACACCUGAGAUUUGCCUCCAUUUGAGACUCAGAAUUUUGCAGCUGUUUUCUCAAUGCAGGAAGAGGUCAUUAUUAGAAUGAAGUGAAGAAAGGAAGGCAUGAAGGGGAAAUGGGACUGUUUACGGAGCACAUCUACACAAAGGAGACAGGGGGAAGUGCUGUGCUCUUCAGUGUCUUUGUAGCAUAAAUCACUGAGGCAGAGGAAUUUUUGACAGCUUUCCCUAAGUGCUCGCUUCAAGGGUGAGACCAAAUCUUCCACAGAGGCCAAGGAUGAGAGUGAAAAAGAAGGGAUCCCAGAUGACUUCUAACACUCUUAAAGCAACUCGAAGACUCCAAGAAUUAAGGCACUGAAGACCGGGAAGCCACUGUUAGUGACAUCAUUUUGCAAGGAGUAGGAGGCGCUUCUUACUGGAGAAGGCACGUCACCAGGGUAUUCUUUGAAGUUUCAAAAGCCCAUACCAGGCCCAGUCUAUCUCUGCCUCCUGUCUGCUGAUCAGGAUGAGGCUCUCCUGCCUCCAUGCCGCUGUGCUUCCCAGCGUGAUGAGCAAAGAAAAACCUUCUGAGAUUGUAAGCAAGCCACCAAUUAAAUGUUUUCUUUUAUGAGUACCUUGGCCAUGGUGUCUUUUCACAGCAACAGAACAGUAACCAACACACAAUCCAAAGGGAUCCUUCAGAUGUUAACAUAAAUAAUAUAGGACAGAGACAAAAGGCCAUCCGGAAAUGUUUACCUCCAAGACUUUCUCUACCAGGCUCAACUGAAAUCGUUCAUUCAGAGUGGGUCAAGGUUUUAUUCAAAUACUUAUUGUCCAUUGUAUUGAGUUUUUAACCCAAACACUUAUAUAUAUGUAUGUGUGUGUGUGUGUGUGUGUGUGUGUGUGUGUGUGUGUGUGUGUGUGUGUAUACCUCUUACAUGAUUUAAGAGGCCAACAUAAAUUUCCUGGUGGAAAAUAAAUUGCUCAUUUCUAAGAUUUGUUAAUGUAAUUUGUGACUGUAUUCCUUCCAUAGGUUCACAUGAUUUUCUGGCCUCUUGGAAGCAUGAUUCUCCCCCCAAAAUGAGUUACUUGGUUAUAUGAAUGCUGUAUAAAAAUAAAUGCAAAAAAGUGGGCUUAAGAAGUUGGAUAGCAUACAGGCCCAUCUUUACCUUGCGGGUAAUAAGCUGAGAAUGAAAGUGAUCCCAGGAUCCUUUGAGAAUAAAAACCAUCAUUGAGAAACUUCUAUUUGUCACUGUAGUAGGUUGUCCAAACCUUAUCAGUUGUUCAUCUACCCAGAGUUCAAUGCUGAGGCUUUUCCAUGUGUGAUGGUUUGCAUAUGCUUGGCCAAGGGAGUGGCACUAUUAGAAGGUGUGGCCUUUUGGAUGA